CAAAAAGUAAAACACUAAAAACUUUUCUCUCUCUAGCAAUAAACUAGCUAAAAUACCCAAAUCCAUUUUGCUAAAGCCUUAGAUUUUUUUUGCUCUCUCUCUCUAAAACAACACUAAAAUCCCUAAAAUAUGUCUCUCUCUAUAGCAAUACGAUGAAAUCCCUAAAUCCAUAUAGAGAUUAAAGCUUAAAGACAACAGCAAAACUUUUCAUACACCACUGAUAUCUACAUCAAGAAACACUUUCAGGGCUCAACGAAGAGAAAUGGACCUUAAAAAUGACAUCAUGAAGAAAGUGAAGCUUGAAGAGGAAGUUGGGAAAGAAAGUGAAGAAAAUAUGUUGUACGGGAGCAUCUCCACGUCGCGCACUUUGCUUCAGGGAUUGAUGCUCAAUUUGGAAUUAAUUAUGUGGCUAGAAAGAAAGGUCCGCGCCAGGUCCGCGAUAGAAGGAAAAUCGCCAAAGAAGAAAAAUGAGAAAUUCCACAGUGCAGAAACAUGUCCGCAUCGCGGACUUCAAUGCAGCUAAUUGAUCUUCGCAUUUUUCGAGUAUACUUGUACCUUUUAUUAAACAUUAAGUUUUUCUUUCAAGGUUUUGACGAAGAAGAGCAAAGGAAGAACUUCUCUAGGGUUAUUUUUCUUCAUCUCUUUCAUUUCAUUUGAAACUAAUUUCUUUAUUCCAUUAAUUGGUUCUUUGAUUGUAUUCAAGACUAUGAGUGGCUAAAUCCCCCUAUUCUAGGGUUGUAGCCACAAGAUGAGGGUUUAUAUGCUUUGCUUUGGUUAAAAAUGAGUUUUUUCAUACAAUUA